AAAAUAUAUAUAUAUAUUUCUGACAUUUACUAAUAUAUACGUGAAUAUAUUACAUUCUAAAUAUAAAAGGAAAAGUUUUAAACAAGGGAUUAAUAUCAUAUUUGGUGCUGCUGUUAUUAACUACAGUGUUAUACGGAAUUUAUCAUGGAUUUGUGACUGCUGAAAAAGGGACAAUGGAAUUUAGCCAUAACAAGGACUAUACUGGAAAGACACUACUGCUGGUGAAUGGGCCCUAAUUUUAAGUCUUUCUCAUGCUGCAAGGUAGUGAAUGAGAUUCGAUGUCAAGCAUAAUCUGCAGUGCAACAAUUAUAGACUGAAGUGGUAUCAGAGAUGGUUAUGAAAAGUCAGUGCUGGUAAAUUACCUGUAAAUAAAUGUGAGCAUGACACAUUUGAAAAUUUCAUCUCUUUUGGGGAUAUGUUUGAUUGUACGGUUAUUAUCAAUUACUGUGCGUGUCUAAUAAUCCCAUGUAUUUUGGGUAACAUCACUGUCCCUGUAGUACCAUAUAGUGUGCUGCAGAUUGUAUUGAAACAAACCACCUUAAUAUAGCAUAACCUGUUUAUGCAGAUAUUAUUUAUUUAAUUUUUAGUUACACGUUCAUCCCUGUGGGUUAUUCCCAACACUUCUAGUAAUCUCAUGUUUACUAAGUGGUGCUAUUUUAACAAAACAUUUGUGACUUUGGUAGGCAUAGUGAAGCCAUUAGCAUCUGAGUAUUCUGAUUCCGGAAUCUCUCUUCUAUGUAAUACCACCACUUAGUACAAAUUUAGCCAUGUGUUGUAAGUCAUGAGCUAUGUGUAUCGUUCUGAGAUGUAGCAUUGUAAAACAUCAUUAUUUAAGUAAAUGUUAAAGCGUUACUGCAGACAAAUUGUACGUUGUUUGCAAAUACUCAUUUCUUCACUCAUGUUUGUUAAAAAUGAAACAUGAAAGUAUUACUAUGAUCAAUAAAAAUGACGGUGGCAAAACCUAUUGUUAGUUUGUAAUUAAUGGCAUUGGUUUCUCACUAGAAACAGAAUCCAGCAUAAUAAAUAUUUGUUGUAAGAUAUUAUGUAUUUUACUUUUGCCAAGGAUAGUUUUGUUUUUAUUUGCAUUGUGUUAUAAUAAUGUGAACUGAUAUUGGUCUUUGUCAAUGAUAAUGUACAUUUC